CACGUAGGGGGCGAGCGUUGUCCGGAAUUACUGGGCGUAAAGGGUGCGUAGGCGGCCUGAUAAGUCAAGUGUGAAAUACCCGGGCUCAACCUGGGUGGUGCACGUGAAACUGUCGGGCUUGAGUGCAGGAGAGGGAAGUGGAAUUCCUAGUGUAGCGGUGAAAUGCGUAGAUAUUAGGAGGAACACCAGUGGCGAAGGCGGCUUCCUGGACUGUAACUGACGCUGAGGCACGAAAGCGUGGGGAGCAAAC
rnacentral:rRNA from 1 species